CCUUCCCCCGGGUAGUGACCUGGCUUUUUUAAUGCAAAUAGGAAAAACCACAGGGAAGCUUUUUUGCGAGGCUUAGGUGGCGGGGAUGCGCCUGAAGCUUAGCACAUCCGGGUACUGCGCUCAGGCGGACCAUAUGAAAGCCUCGUAGCCACAGCGCCAGUGUCUGUUACUUUCUCACUAUCCGCUCAGCCGCUGCGAUCAAAGCAGAUGAACGACAGACAAAUGGUGACCUGUCCAGUCUGACCGUUGGAUGCAACUGGCUCCCUGCAGCAUUCACGGGAAGGGCACCUUACAUUUAUGAUGGACAACACGCCAGGCACUCAGGAUGACUAAAAUCACAACACUCGCAAAAUUCCUGAGAAUUAUGGUAGUGGAAAAUAGAAAUUCCAGCUGUCCUAGCAAAAUAUUGGAGCAACUAGAUGCCUAUCAGCUGCUGAUGCCGUAAAUGAUGCCGUACCCCACCAUGAAACAGGAUGCUGCCAUUGUAUAGAAUGAGGAACUCGUAUGUACUGAUGAAGAAUGAUGAUCAAGAUAGGAGAUUUUAAAAAGCAAGUGCACUACUGUGUCCUAGCAUGUCACCUUUUGUGGGGAAAAAAAUGCAUGUGUACAUAUAGAAUAUCUGCAGAAGGAGAUACCCUAUAUAAGCUGGUAGCAUCCGUCAGGGAUGGGGAAGUGGGAGGCCGGGGCACUGGGGCAGGAGGAAGACUUAAUUAUCAGUCUGUACUCUUUUGUUUCUAUUCUGGAAAAAAGGUGAUAUAAAAUAAUUUAAAAAUAAAGAAGGCAAAAGGGUA